GCCAUAUGUAUGGCUCAUCAACCACAAACCAACGAAUUGAAAGCUGGUGGUCAUACUUCAGAAAACAAAGGUCUCAGUUCUGGAUGGAUCUGCUGAAUGACUUGAAAGAGAGACAACUCUUUAAUGGCAGUCAUGAGCACAUAUGCUUGGUACGUUAUGUGUUUUUAAGUGUGCUACAGAUGGACCUUGAUGAAUGCAAAGAAAUCUGGAACACUCACACGAUUAGGGCAGUUAAACAGUCUCGCUGUCCUUCUGGUAAACCAGAUGCAAUUUACGCUCUUCCACACAGGUUUAAUGGGAGAGAAUGUGGAUUUCGUGUCUCAGAGGAAGACUUGAACCAGUUUUUCAUUGAACCUACUCUCAGUACAUGUGGAGAUG